AGGAUCUCAUAAAUAAAGUGGUUCAAAGGUUCACACUUUCAGCUUGAAAAGACACAGAGGAUCUCAUGCACUUGAGGUCAAUGAGGAGACUGCACCCUUGGCCUGCCUUGUGCCUGGUGAAAGUGAAACUGUUAGUCGUUCAGUCAUGUCUGACUCUGCAACUCCAUGGACUGUAGCCCACCAGGCUCCUCUGUCCAUGGAAUUCUCCAGGUCACAGGAUCCUCCCCUGCAGAAGGAGGGGUGAGCUUCACGAUGUUGGGCCCCAUGUCCUGCUUCCACACAAGGUCUGACAGAAAGGUCCUGGAUCUGAGAGAUGGGACACCUGGCCAUGCAUAGCACAUAGUAGGCAUGCACAACAAAAUGAAUUCACUGAAUGGAGCCUGCAUUCUUGUCUUGAAUUUGUAACUAACUAGAUCAAGUGGUGGGAGUAAGGAUCUAAACCUAAGUUUUCCCAUAUGUGAAAUAGAGG
ensembl:lncRNA